rnacentral:rRNA from 1 species
CACGUAGGGUGCGAGCGUUGUCCGGAAUUAUUGGGCGUAAAGAGCUCGUAGGCGGUGUGUCGCGUCGGCCGUGAAAACCUGCAGCUUAACUGUGGGCUUGCGGUCGAUACGGGCAUCACUGGAGUUCGGCAGGGGAGACUGGAAUUCCUGGUGUAGCGGUGAAAUGCGCAGAUAUCAGGAGGAACACCGGUGGCGAAGGCGGGUCUCUGGGCAGUAACUGACGCUGAGACGCGAAAGCGUGGGGAGCAAACAGG